CUAGGGGACAAGCAGACAAGCAUUCCCUCUGAGACUCAUUUCCUCCUCACAAAGCUUUCCAAGAGGUGGAACAGAAAUGAGCACAUGGCAAUGCCAUUUUUACUUUCUCCCACUCAGCUUCCUAAAUCGGAGUGGCAGCCUGGAGGCCAGGCUUGCAAUGGAGCCAGAUCCAGCUUUGCCAGUCCUGGGUGAGACUCGUUGAGCAGAAAGAAAUAAGUACCGUCCUGCUGAGUAGAAACUUCCUGAGAUGUAGCACUUUAUGCUCCGACCCCGUAUCUACCCAGGAAGAUCUACUCUGGUAUGAGAAAAAGGAAAAGCUUCUCCUUCCCCCCAGAGGACCAGACAUUUCCCUCUCCGUACAGACACGGGAGCUUUAAUGCUGUAGAAACAGGUGGAGGGUGGAACGCUGUGACCACAUUUGCUCUGGAGAGUGUGGAUACAGUUCUUUAUCCAGGUCAAGCAGCACUGAAUACCCAUAGUCCAGGUGGGGAGGAAGAAUGCCUGAACAUCUUUGGACAUGUCUUUUUCCUCACCACGUUGGGUGGGUUUUUGGAAAGGCGAGAGCAAGUGUCCUUGCUUCCCAUCAGUGCUGUCAGAGAGUCCACAGUGAUUCCCCAGAACCCGGUUACAAACCAACCCUGCAUUCACCUACAAGAUGAAACUGCUUUUGUACCAUUUUAAAGACAGGACAACUUUGGAAACAUUAAUAUAUAUCAUUUCUACAUUUUAGGCAUUUUCACAUUUUAGGUUAUUGGUUUAGAAAAAAAUAUUAGCAAAUUGGACAAUUUUGACAAAUUGAGAAUCCCGAGAGGGCUACAAGAUUGAUUGUGAGAGGCAGCCCGAGGGUCAUUUUCACAAAUGGUACUUUCUAGGAAGUCCACACAAAACAUGUAAGAAAAGUAAUUGCUCAACCUAAUUCAGUUCAAUAAGUCAGUAUAUACCAUCUUAGUUUCCUCCUAAAGGCUGGGCAGGUUUAAAUUUCCCCCCAGCACAAUACUUUUCUAAAGUCUAAUGUAAAAGUACAAUAAAGGUGAAAGGACCCUGCCCUUACUCA
rnacentral:lncRNA from 1 species